rnacentral:rRNA from 1 species
GAUGAACGCUAGCGGGAGGCUUAAUACAUGCAAGUCGAACGGUAACAGGCCAGUUUUUCGGAACAGGUGCUGACGAGUGGCGCACGGGUGAGUAACGCGUACAUAACCUACCUAACACAGAGGGAUAGCCUUGGGAAACUGAGAAUAAUACCUCAUAGUAUAGAGUAUUUGCAUGAAUAUUCUAUUAAAGUUCCGGCGGUGUUAGAUGGAUGUGCGUUAGAUUAGCUAGUUGGUAAGGUAACGGCUUACCAAGGCGACGAUCUAUAGGGGGCGUGAGAGCGUGAUCCCCCACACGGGUACUGAGACACGGACCCGACUCCUACGGGAGGCAGCAGUAAGGAAUAUUGGACAAUGGGCGGAAGCCUGAUCCAGCCAUCCCGCGUGCAGGAAGACGGCCCUCUGGGUUGUAAACUGCUUUUGUAUAGGACGAAACGCCUUCAUUUAUGGGGGUCUGACGGUACUAUAAGAAUAAGCAUCGGCUAACUCCG